rnacentral:rRNA from 1 species
CCUACGGGAGGCAGCAGUGAGGAAUAUUGGUCAAUGGGAGAGAUCCUGAACCAGCCAAGCCGCGUGAGGGAAGACGGCCCUAUGGGUUGUAAACCUCUUUUGUCGGAGAACAAAACCCGGGACGUGUCCCGGACUGCGUGUAUCCGAAGAAAAAGCAUCGGCUAACUCCGUGCCAGCAGCCGCGGUAAUACGGAGGAUGCGAGCGUUAUCCGGAUUUAUUGGGUUUAAAGGGUGCGUAGGCGGUCCGUUAAGUCAGCGGUAAAAUUGCGGGGCUCAACCCCGUCGAGCCGUUGAAACUGGGGAUCUUGAGUGGGCGAGAAGUAUGCGGAAUGCGUGGUGUAGCGGUGAAAUGCAUAGAUAUCACGCAGAACUCCGAUUGCGUAGGCAGCAUACCGGCGCCCGACUGACGCUGAGGCACGAAAGCGUGGGGAUCGAACAGGAUUAGAUACCCGGGUAGUC